AGAGAUGCUCAACAGCACAAUAUCAAGCAUGAGCUGCGCAAACUACCACGUCGUUGUGGGAGGGAUUGCCAAAGUGUUCCCUGCCAUACCCCUGCUUAGACGACAGGGAAUCGCUUCUGUUCUGCUGGCCUACCUCAAAAGCUCUACCUCUGUCAUCAACAAGCCAGCUUGCAGGAUGGGACUCGAGACCGAUGUUGAAUGGAUUGAAACAAACCUGGGACCCUUUUCUCAAUACACAACUUACUCUGACCUCAAAGCCUUCAACCUCUCCCAGGUAAUUGAGGCAUUUCACCAAAGAUCCUCUCUACCGAAUACGA